CCUACGGGAGGCAGCAGUGGGGAAUAUUGGGCAAUGGGCGCAAGCCUGACCCAGCAACGCCGCGUGAAGGAAGAAGGCUUUCGGGGUGUACACUUCUUUUCUCAGGGACGAAGCAAGUGACGGUACCUGAGGAAUAAGCCAUGGCUAACUACGUGCCAGCAGCCGCGGUAAUACGUAGGUGGCAAGCGUUAUCCGGAUUUACUGGGUGAAAAGGGCGUGUAGGCGGGAAAGCAAGUCAGAUGUGAAAACCAUGGGAUCAACCUGUGGCCUGCAUUUGAAACUGUUUUACUUGAGUACUGGAGAGGCAGACGGAAGUCCUAGUGUAGCGGUGAAAUGCGUAGAUAUAGGAGGAACACCAGUGGCGAAGGCGGUCUGCUGGACAGCAACUGACGCUGAGGCGCGAAAGCGUGGGGAGCAAACAGGAUUAGAUACCCGGGUAGUC
rnacentral:rRNA from 1 species